UGCCCCGUGGCUGAGUUGGUCACAGCGUCCGACUGUUACGGUUCAGACAAUCGGAAGGUCGUGAGUUCGAGCCUCACCGGGGCAG
rfam:Daedalea quercina L-15889 unplaced genomic scaffold DAEQTscaffold_105, whole genome shotgun sequence.